GGUCAAGUGAAGAAGCGCAUACGGUGGAUGCCUUGGCAGUCAGAGGCGAUGAAAGACGUGGUAGCCUGCGAAAAGCUUCGGGGAGUCGGCAAACAGACUUUGAUCCGGAGAUCUCUGAAUGGGGGAACCCACCUAGGAUAACCUAGGUAUCUUGUACUGAAUCCAUAGGUGCAAGAGGCGAACCAGGGGAACUGAAACAUCUAAGUACCCUGAGGAAAAGAAAUCAACCGAGAUUCCCUUAGUAGUGGCGAGCGAACGGGGAUUAGCCCUUAAGCUUCAUUGAUUUUAGCGGAACGCUCUGGAAAGUGCGGCCAUAGUGGGUGAUAGCCCCGUACGCGAAAGGAUCUUUGAAGUGAAAUCGAGUAGGACGGAGCACGAGAAACUUUGUCUGAACAUGGGGGGACCAUCCUCCAAGGCUAAAUACUACUGACUGACCGAUAGUGAACCAGUACCGUGAGGGAAAGGCGAAAAGAACCCCGGAGAGGGGAGUGAAAUAGAACCUGAAACCGUAUGCGUACAAGCAGUGGGAGCCUACUUGUUAGGUGACUGCGUACCUUUUGUAUAAUGGGUCAGCGACUUAUAUUCAGUGGCAAGCUUAACCGUAUAGGGUAGGCGUAGCGAAAGCGAGUCUUAAUAGGGCGUUUAGUCGCUGGGUAUAGACCCGAAACCGGGCGAUCUAUCCAUGAGCAGGUUGAAGGUUAGGUAACACUGACUGGAGGACCGAACCCACUCCCGUUGAAAAGGUAGGGGAUGACUUGUGGAUCGGAGUGAAAGGCUAAUCAAGCUCGGAGAUAGCUGGUUCUCCUCGAAAGCUAUUUAGGUAGCGCCUCAUGUAUCACUCUGGGGGGUAGAGCACUGUUUCGGCUAGGGGGUCAUCCCGACUUACCAAACCGAUGCAAACUCCGAAUACCCAGAAGUGCCGAGCAUGGGAGACACACGGCGGGUGCUAACGUCCGUCGUGAAAAGGGAAACAACCCAGACCGCCAGCUAAGGUCCCAAAGUUGUGGUUAAGUGGUAAACGAUGUGGGAAGGCUUAGACAGCUAGGAGGUUGGCUUAGAAGCAGCCAUCCUUUAAAGAAAGCGUAAUAGCUCACUAGUCGAGUCGGCCUGCGCGGAAGAUGUAACGGGGCUCAAACCACACACCGAAGCUGCGGGUGUCACGUAAGUGACGCGGUAGAGGAGCGUUCUGUAAGCCUGUGAAGGUGAGUUGAGAAGCUUGCUGGAGGUAUCAGAAGUGCGAAUGCUGACAUGAGUAACGACAAUGGGUGUGAAAAACACCCACGCCGAAAGACCAAGGGUUCCUGCGCAACGUUAAUCGACGCAGGGUUAGUCGGUUCCUAAGGCGAGGCUGAAAAGCGUAGUCGAUGGGAAACAGGUUAAUAUUCCUGUACUUCUGGUUACUGCGAUGGAGGGACGGAGAAGGCUAGGCCAGCUUGGCGUUGGUUGUCCAAGUUUAAGGUGGUAGGCUGAAAUCUUAGGUAAAUCCGGGGUUUCAAGGCCGAGAGCUGAUGACGAGUCGUCUUUUAGAUGACGAAGUGGUUGAUGCCAUGCUUCCAAGAAAAGCUUCUAAGCUUCAGGUAACCAGGAACCGUACCCCAAACCGACACAGGUGGUCGGGUAGAGAAUACCAAGGCGCUUGAGAGAACUCGGGUGAAGGAACUAGGCAAAAUGGCACCGUAACUUCGGGAGAAGGUGCGCCGGCUAGGGUGAAGGAUUUACUCCGUAAGCUCUGGCUGGUCGAAGAUACCAGGCCGCUGCGACUGUUUAUUAAAAACACAGCACUCUGCAAACACGAAAGUGGACGUAUAGGGUGUGACGCCUGCCCGGUGCCGGAAGGUUAAUUGAUGGGGUUAGCGCAAGCGAAGCUCUUGAUCGAAGCCCCGGUAAACGGCGGCCGUAACUAUAACGGUCCUAAGGUAGCGAAAUUCCUUGUCGGGUAAGUUCCGACCUGCACGAAUGGCGUAACGAUGGCGGCGCUGUCUCCACCCGAGACUCAGUGAAAUUGAAAUCGCUGUGAAGA
rnacentral:rRNA from 1 species